rnacentral:lncRNA from 1 species
AAAAUCUAGGUAAUCGUUUAGAUUUUUUUGUCAACUUUUCGUUUUAUUAAACGAAGCCCCAUGGGCAAUUUACAAACAGAGCCAGCUUAAAAGUUAGCCCGAAACAAAGCCCAUAUAAACCACACAGAUAACAAUGAAAGCAUGAUUGACACGUGGUCGAUACGUGGCAGUGUUUAUUCAGACGAGAACGAAGAAGGCGGUGCUGGAAUCUUCGCUGGAAAACCAGCAAUCCCAUCUCGAACUUGUGUGAGCCUGCUUGCAUGUUCUUCCACCUUCGUUCUCCGUCAAUCGCAAGAUCUUCUUUUCGAAUUGUUAGAUUUUAAUCUCAGGGAAGAACUUUUGAAGAAAAGGAUAGAAACUUGUUAGAACACUAACCCAUAUGGCACCUCCAACUCAUCUCGCAUCUGUCCUGAACCUACAAAGCGUGAUCCAAAUCUUGUUUCUUAAUCUUCGUGGAGACUACUCCUGAACACAGAUACCACUUCCGAUUCAAGAGCCAAGCUUGUCUAACAAUGAGAAAAUCCAACCUCCCAAUCAACCGGCAUAAACAUUCAACAUGGAAGGAGAAGAACUCAACUUGACUUUAUUUGAUUCCAAAACAGGUUAGGAAAUAUGAAAACUUGAAGAACAUGAAGAUCAAUCCCACCCAGUUUUGAAAAUACACAACAAAAUCGCCCAAAGCGAAACUAAUUCCUCAAAGGAAAAGAGAAAUCGCCAAAGAAAAAAGAGAAUCGAUCAAAAGAUCGAACACUAUUUUACAUACCAAAAAAAUCUGAUCUAUUGAUCAGAACAUCAAAACAAAAGCUUGAUUCUCAUCUCUCCCCGUGAAAGAUGUUUGAGAGAGAACAGGGAAGGAGAGAGAAAAAAGCUUCGACCAGUCUAACUUAGGUAAUCGUUUAGUUUGUUUGUAGUAAAUGAUAUUGAUCGAUCACCAAG